rnacentral:lncRNA from 1 species
GUUUAAACAAUUUUAUAUAAAUGGAAUCAUACAAAUUUAUGUUUUUCUGUUUGGCUUCUUUCAAUCAUUUCUCAUCAUCAUCAUCUUUAUUUUUGAGACUCAUCAAUGUAUCAGGUGUAACAACAGCUUGUUCCUUUUCAUUGCUGAGUAGUAUUCUAGCAGUGGAUACCCCCAGUUAGAGUAUCCAUUCACCUAUUAAAUAUUUGGGUUGUUCACUGAUUUGAAUAUUACAAACAAAGUAUCCAUGAACAUUCAUGUGUAGGUCUUAUUGUGGAUGUAUGCUUUUAUUUCUGUUGGCUAUGGAUGUAGGCAUGGAAUGGUAGUAGUUUGGUUAACAUUUAAGGGAAUUUUCAUACUGUUUUCUAAAGUAGUUCCAUUUUAUAACUUACUGUCAGUGUAUGCAAAUGCAGUUCAUUUACACUUCACCAAUCCUAGAAUGUUAAGUCUUUAAUUUUAGUCACUGCAUUAGAUAUAUAAUGCUAUCUCAUUGUGGUUUGAAUCUGCACUUCCCUAAUGAUUGAUUGUGUUGAGCAUGUUUUAAAAAAAUAUUUUUUGCCAUAUAUAUCUCUGACCACUUUUUAAAUGAUGGUUUGUAUUCUUAUUAGUUUUGAGAGUUCAUUGUAUAUUCUGAAUAUAUAAGUUCUUUCUUAGAUAUAUAACUUGUAAAUAUUUUCUGUUAAUCAGUUAUCUUUUCAUUCUUUAUUUCUUAUUUAUUUAUUGUUUAUUCUAAUUUGUUAUAUAUGACAGCAGAAUGCAUUACAAUUCAUAUUACACAUAUGGAGCACAAUUUUUCACGUAUCUGGUUGUACACCAAGUAUCAUCACACCAUCCGUGUCUUCAUACAUGUACUUAGGGUAAUGAUAUCCAUCUUAUUCCACCAUCUUUUCUACCUCCAUCCCCACUCCCUCCCCCACCCAUUUAUCUUUUUAUUCUUAAAAGUAUCCUUCAAAAGGCAGAAUUUUUUAUUGUAUAAAUUCCAUUUUAUGGACUGAAUAUUGAGUAUCACAGUUAAGAAAUCUUCACCUGAGGAGGGAAGAAUA